rnacentral:rRNA from 1 species
UACAGAGGGGGCAAGCGUUGUUCGGAAUUACUGGGCGUAAAGGGCGCGUAGGCGGCCCGCUAAGUCGAACGUGAAAUCCCCGGGCUCAACCCGGGAACUGCGUCCGAUACUGGUGGGCUUGAAUCCGGGAGAGGGAUGCGGAAUUCCCGGUGUAGUGGUGAAAUGCGUAGAUAUCGGGAGGAACACCAGUGGCGAAGGCGGCUUCCUGGCAUGUUCUUGACGCUGAGGCGCGAAAGCUAGGGGAGCAAACGGG